UUCUGGUCAUUGUGCUUCAUCUCAAGAAUAGAAGCCCUGAUGAAGGUAUUACCCCUCUGGAAAAUGUCAGUUGUAGGACAGUUGGCAGCCAACUUUACAUGUUUGAAUCCCUGUGUGUACAUACGUGUCUACACAGCUGUGUCCCACGAGGAGGCCAAAGGAUUUUAUCAGGUUGAGAACCACUGCCCUAGAGUAUCCUACCACCUCAAAAUGGCCGCUGUGCUCAUCUGCACUCCAUCCCCACCUUGGUCCUCGUGAAGCACUUUUACUAUUUUACCUUCUCUUCCUCAGCUCUACACACAAACCAAACUUCCCUUCCAACCGCAAGUUUACCAAGCGUUACUCUCCAUGCUAAAUUACUUUGAAACUACUCUGGAGCAGAGAAGGAAAGAUGUAAAACCACCUCUGUGAUCAUAAACUCAAAGAGCUGAGCCAAGCCUGGAGCAUUAGGCCAUCCUAUCUCCACAUGACAGCAGCAGGCCGCAGAAUGCAAGGCAGAAGGAAGAAGGGGCCAGGCCACAUCACACUCACCAAGUUCCAGAAGCUCUCAUGUUUACUUGGGUUCUCACUGCCCAGAACAUCUGCUGACAAACUGUCCACCUCACACACGUGCAGUCGGACCCAGUCAAGAAGAUGAAGGAGGAGGGGGCCAGCUGAGAAGAGAGACUCAUGUCACACUCAAAGACCCCACCUUCAUCUGCAGCAAGUUCCACUUUACCCAAAGUACAGACACUGAUGUUAAAGCAGAAAACCUGACUGCAGAGGGGUUUAUCUCCUGCAACUUGAAAGGAAAAAGCAAGGCGCUUACAAGCCAGUCCAGUCCAGUCUCUGCAAGGCAGGACUGUCUUUCACUGGACCCUGGAAGGGAUGAUAUCUGCCUCAGACUGCUCUCAAACAUCAGAUUUUUGUUGUUGUUGAAACAUGGUUGUGUUCUAAAGCCCAAGCUCAUCGAGAACUCUGACUUCUGCUUCUGCCUCCCAAGUGCUGGAGUAUAUGGGAAUGUCAGCAUUGGAAGUGUGUGCUACCACACCCUGCCACGCUGCGUUCUUUACAAAUAUGGAAGGCUGUGUGCAGCGUGUCUGAAAUGGCUACCCGACUGUUGGCAUUAAUUAGAUUAGAUGGUACGUAUCAAUGGUGAUAGAUGUACUUCUCAAAAUCUACUGGACAGGGGAGGUAUCUGAACAAAUAAGUCUGAAUUA